ACCAGACUCCUACGGGAGGCAGCAGUGAGGAAUAUUGGUCAAUGGCCGAGAGGCUGAACCAGCCAAGCCGCGUGAAGGACGAAGGUGCCAAGCAUUGUAAACUUCUUUUGUCAAGGGACAAAGUCAGGCUCGAGAGCCUGACCGAGGGUACUUGAAGAAAAAGCAUCGGCUAACUCCGUGCCAGCAGCCGCGGUAAUACGGAGGAUGCGAGCGUUAUCCGGAUUUAUUGGGUUUAAAGGGUGCGUAGGCGGCUUGUUAAGGCGGCGUUAAAGGCCCGGGGCUCACCCCCGGCGAGCCGUUGAAACUGGCUGUCUUGAGAUGUCGAGAGGUAUGCGGAAUGCGCAGUGUAGCGGUGAAAUGCUUAGAUAUUGCGCAGAACUCCGAUUGCGAAGGCAGCAUACCGGCGGCGAUCUGACGCUGAGGCACGAAAGCGUGGGUAUCGAACAGGAUUAGAUACCCUGGUACGC
rnacentral:rRNA from 1 species